rnacentral:rRNA from 1 species
UACGUAGGGGGCUAGCGUUGUCCGGAAUCAUUGGGCGUAAAGCGCGUGUAGGCGGUUCGGUAAGUCUGCUGUGAAAGUCGGGGGCUCAACCCUCGAAUGCCGGUGGAUACUGUCGGGCUAGAGUGCGGAAGAGGCGAGUGGAAUUCCUGGUGUAGCGGUGAAAUGCGCAGAUAUCAGGAGGAACACCAACGGCGAAGGCAGCUCGCUGGGACGGUACUGACACUAAGGCGCGAAAGCGUGGGGAGCGAACAGG